CAGUAGCCGCGGGAAUACAGAGGGUGCAAGCGUUAAUCGGAAUUACUGGGCGUAAAGCGAGCGUAGGUGGUUUGUUAAGUUGGAUGUGAAAGCCCCGGGCUCAACCUGGGAACUGCAUCCAAAACUGGCAAGCUAGAGUACGGUAGAGGGUGGUGGAAUUUCCUGUGUAGCGGUGAAAUGCGUAGAUAUAGGAAGGAACACCAGUGGCGAAGGCGACCACCUGGACUGAUACUGACACUGAGGUGCGAAAGCGUGGGGAGCAAACAGGAUUAGAUACCCCCGUAGUCCCUGUCUCUUAUAC
rnacentral:rRNA from 1 species